CAAUAGCGUAUAUUUAAGUUGUUGCAGUUAAAAAGCUCGUAGUUGGAUUUCGGGUGGGACGCAGCGGUCUCGCAUUGCGUUUGUACUGCUGCAGCCCUCCUUCUUGCCGGGGGCGGCCUCUCGGACUUCACUGUCUUGGGGUCAGAAUCGGCGAUGUUACUUUGAGUAAAUUAGAGUGUUCAAAGCAAGCUUACGCUCUGAAUAUAAUAGCAUGGGAUAACACGACAGGACUCUGGCCUAUCGUGUUGGUCUAUAGGACCAGAGUAAUGAUUAAGAGGGACAGUCGGGGGCAUUCGUAUUCCGUUGUCAGAGGUGAAAUUCUUGGAUUUACGGAAGACGAACAUCUGCGAAAGCAUUUGCCAAGGAUGUUUUCAUUGA
rnacentral:rRNA from 1 species